UCCGAGAAACAACAGUGAAGCAGGGCGCGAAUUGAUAUUAACCUUACGUCGGGGAGCUGCCGGCUUUGGGUUCACUAUCGCUGACAGUGUUCACGGGCAGAAAGUCAAAAAGGUAUUGGACAGGAGCCGCUGCGCAGGUCUUCGAGAAGGUGACCUGCUUCUACAAAUUGGCGACACAGAUGUUCGCCACUCCCCCCACCAACACGUCGUACAAGUAUUGAAGGAGUGUCCGGCGUUGCACGAGACGACACUGCGCGUGUGGCGACGCAACAACGCGAUAGCUCGUGCAAGAAGCAGAUCCGCCACCAGGGUGCCU
rnacentral:lncRNA from 1 species